UCUCUCUCUCCUCACAAGAAAGGUCAGCUGAGUAUAUAGCCAGAAGGUGCCCAUCUGCUACCCAAGGGUGAAGUCUCACCAGAAACCAAUCGUACUGGCAUCCUGAUCUUAAACUUCCAUGCUCCAGAAUGAUUCCUUUCUGCUAAAUCAUCUGGGCUGUCAGUCAAGGACUCAGCAAACACAUUAUUUGGCCAUGUUUAAAUGAAACAUAUGGGUGACAUGCUAAAUUCAUAACUGAAAUGACUGAAAAUGUGCAAAUAUCAAGGUUACCUGGGUCUGCUGGUCACUUCUAGUUUUUGGACUCCUGAAGAUGGUGAGUUUUGCUAAUGAUGCGCGGCCGUUUAGGAACCGGUGGCUUUUCUGGCAAUCACUCUUUGUGUGCCAUCUUUUAUAAAGGUGCUUCUUGUUGCUAAGAGAUCAGUUGCUUGGAGACCAAACCAUUAAAAAAAUAUAUAUGUCAGGGGCCAACAUAAAUUAUAACCAAAUUUUGUCAUUUCAGCUCGCCCUCUGAAUGUUUCGCUUUUGUAAUAGAUCGUAGCGUACCAAGAGAAGCCAAUUACUAAUCACAAAUAGAAAGCUGACCAUGAGGAGGAGAAAAGAUCUGUGUGUACGCUCCCAUGAACAGAGUAAUGCCAUGCCUCCCUUCCGUGGAGGUACAUCCUCGCUGGGCUCUCUGAAACUUCGGCUCCUCAUGGGGGGUCCUAGACAGACGCUGUAAAUACAGAUUUACACAGACACACACACAGAUAGCUGUCCCAGGGAAACUUGAGUGCAGGCUUGAGUAUGAAGACAUGACAAUUGUGGAGCUACUUUAUAGUCUUUUCCUAAGGAAAAUUAAGAGAAAAAUGCUAUGCUUAGGAAAAUGUAAGUUGGAAAUCUGAAGUGAUGUUAGCCUCCAGCCAGAUGUUUUUAUGUGUGAACACGAUUGUCACUGCAUCAGGUUCAGUUGUGUAUACCCGGGGCUUACAGGGGUGCUUGGAUAAAAAUCUCUCUACCUUUUAUUUUCUCUCCUGUACUGAGAUAUAGCAUUAGCUGAGAGGGAAAAUACAAUCAGUUAAGUAAGGUAAGAUUUGGCUUGGGGGGAGGCGCCUUUCUCUUUUCCUGGUGUUACCACCCCUUGAGACCCUCCCCUCAAAUUUACUGUCAGCUAAAUACUGUCCCACAUAGGGACAUUUACAUUUUAGGAAUAUAUUUUUAAACGAAGGACUCAAGUUCCUUUAAGAUUUAAGGGAAUAGUGGCAUUCCAAGCUUCUUAACAGGUAGGAUGCAAGAUCUUUUGGGGCAAAAUAAAGCUGGAUGCGACCCUCCACUGGAUAACACCAUAACACACCUCCUUCUGCAUUUCUCCUUCUUCUGCCUCCCCCAUUCUCCAAGGUCUCUGUGACUCUGUCCUGGGUGAAAAGCAAGCAAAUAAGAGACCAACGACUUGGAUUAAAAUCAAAAUGAGAAGUAGAAAGAGUACCUAGUGUCUUAAAGAUGCACGCCCUGCCUAGCCUCCAAAGUGCUUGCCAUUCUAGAAGCCUUCAGGCCCCCAGCCUGAUUCAGAAGGCAUCCUGGAAUGAACCCACUGCAUAGGAGAGGGCAAGCAAGGCAAUCUGAUGAAAAUCACCCAGAAGGAAAGAAAAGGCAGGGACUCAUUUAUAGGAGGAUACACUGGCUGACGUACAGCACCUCUGGACACACCCAAUCAAAAUAAUGGAGGAUAUAUCCUUUCAGAAAAAAUAACCGAGGCUCCUCAGCCAAGAAAGAAGAAGGCUAAA